CCUACGGGAGGCAGCAGUGGGGGAUAUUGCACAAUGGAGGAAACUCUGAUGCAGCGAAGCCGCGUGAGGGAAGAAGGUAUUCGGAUUGUAAAACUCUGUCUUUGGGGAAGAAAAUGACGGUACGUAACGAGGGAGCUGCGGCUCACUACGUGCCGGCAGCCGCGGUACCACGUAGGGAGCGAGCGUUGUCCGGAAUUACUGGGGGUAAGGGGGGCGUAGGCGGGCGAGAGAGUUGAAUGUGAAAGCGACCGGCUUAACCGGGAGCUGCGUUCAAAACUUCUUGUCUUGAGUUGAGUAGAGGCAGGCGGAAUGCCUGGUGUAGCGGUGAAAUGCAUAGAUAUCAGGAGGAACACCAGUUGCGAAGGCAGCCUGCCGGG
rnacentral:rRNA from 1 species